rnacentral:rRNA from 1 species
AAUCAACGCUGGCGGCGUGCCUCAGACAUGCAAGUCGAACGCGAAACCUUCCUUCGGGAGGGGAGUAGAGUGGCGCACGGGUGAGUAACACGUAGGUAAUCUACCUUUGGGUGGGGAAUAACAGCCGGAAACGGCUGCUAAUACCGCAUAAUGCAGCGGCUCGACAUCGAGACAGUUGUUAAAGCGGGGGAUCGUAAGACCUCGCGCCUAAAGAGGAGCCUGCGGCAGAUUAGCUAGUUGGUAAGGUAACGGCUUACCAAGGCGACGAUCUGUAGCCGGCCUGAGAGGGCGGUCGGCCACACUGACACUGACAUACGGGUCAGACUCCUACGGGAGGCAGCAGUCGGGAAUUUUGGGCAAUGGGCGAAAGCCUGACCCAGCCAACGCCGCGUGGAGGAUGAAGGUCCUC